rnacentral:rRNA from 1 species
AGUGAACGCUGGCGGCGUGCUUAACACAUGCAAGUCGAACGAGAACGGAUUAUAGCUUGCUAUAAUUGUCAGCUAAGUGGCGCACGGGUGAGUAAUGUAUAGGUAAUAUGCCUCUUACUAAGGGAUAACAAAUGGAAACGUUUGCUAAUACCUUAUACUCCUUAUUAACAGAAGUUAAUAAGGGAAAGAUUUAUUGGUAAGAGAUUAGCCUGUAUUGUAUCAGUUAGUUGGUGGGGUAAUGGCUUACCAAGACUAUGACACAUAACUGGUUUGAGAGGAGGAUCAGGCACACUGGAACUGAGACACGGUCCAGACUCGUACGGGAGGCAGAAGUGGGGAAUAUUGCACAAUGGACGAAAGUCUGAUGCAGCAACGCCGCGUGGAGGAUGACACAUUUCGGUGCGUAAACUCCUUUUAUAUGAGAAGAUAAUGACGGUAUUAUAUGAAUAAGCACCGGCUAAAUCCGUGCCAGCAGCCGCAGUAA